AUCGCGCGCGUCGCGCCCAACGUGGGGUGCUGACGCGACGCGUCCCCGGAGCCUAUAGCAGCAGAGCACCGGACGGACCGUCCUCCCCCUCCUCUCCUACCCCGUUUGCUUCCAUCUCCGCCGUCUCCUCGGUCUCCCCUCCCACCCCUCUACCCCUCCUCCGCCAGCCGCGUCCUCCCGGGCUCGGAGAGGAACUGUUCCUGGAGGAGCCGCGGGACGUCGAAACCAACCAAUGAGAAGAGGCGAGACGCGGAGAUUGGCACUGUGGAUGGGAAGGACACGGCGAAGUUUAAUUACUUCAGUGAGGAAAAGUGCAAUGGACUUUGGCAGAUAAGUUGCUCUGUCAUACAAGCUGAACUGGUGGCACCAUCUACCCAAAGCCUUCGUGAUUCAGUGGAGUUCUCACAUGAGCUUCUCAGGAACAAGUUCUUUUGAGAGAAGAGAGACAGAGAAAUGAGUCCUAGCUCCUCAUUAUUUUACUUUUAUUCUGGUAUCAGGCCAGUGCCAAGAGAGGCAGAAAAGUUGGACACUGAAAGGCUGGAAAACUUGCCAGAGUGAAGCUGAGGAGGCAAGAAAGGUGAUUUCUCUUCUGCAAAGGGAGCCUGUGUGUCAUCCAAGCCCUACCUGUGUGCAUCAAUUACGCGAAGUCCUUCCAGCCACCCUGACCGCUGAUGAAAGUACUAUCUUCAGAGCUGACUCUUCUAUUCGAGCAGAAAACGCUUCUCCAUCACUUCCAGGGAGCAGAAAUUUCCCUAAAGAAAUUGUUUUGUACUUGCUGAGAAAGCCUUAUAAUUUUCACGAUAACUUAUCCUCCUAUGAAAACUACCUUUCUUCAAUACAACCAAGAAUAUUAAUCCUCCUCAAUACAUUUUUGUUCUAACAAGAGAGUGCCGUUCUCUGUGUAUUGCACCGGGACUGUGAGGUGGUGCUGGGCAUGGGAGUGGGGACUCUUGCUUUGGAAAAGGAAGGAGAGAGUUCUGCUCUUACUGAUUUCCUCUUUGGGUUUCUCAAUCCAAAGAAAGAAGCCUGUCAGUGGCCUUCUCAGUUUUAUCCUGGGGCCCUUUAUUUGACCCUGCUCAGGUGUCCUGAAUUUUUUUUCAUAAAAAGUACAAAAGGCUUACUCUGAAAACGUUCAGGCCUUCACCAAGUGAGAAAACCCCUUAAAGUCUACACCUUGGCUCCACCUGUUUGUUCAUCUGCUCCCAAAGUAUCCUGACAUAUAGCUGUAGGGUGCGAUGAGGUACUAUGGCAUGUAGGCGUCACCUCCCGGAGACUACUCAGGGCUUAUGAGAGCACAGGGAUACCAUUUUGACCUGAGAGAACACAAGAUUGUCUUUGAGCAUGAAGACAGCACCUCCAGGAUGUUGUCAGGGAAGCUGUGCUCCUAUAUGGUGCCUGCUUUCCCAGACAUGCUACAUUUUACACCAAAGUGACAGUAAUUUAGAGGUGCAUUAGUUAUGAAUUGCUGUGUAAUGGAUAUCCCAAAAUUUAGUGGCUUAAAAAUACAUAUUUAUCAUCUGACAAUUUUUGUGGGUCAGAAUCUCAGGGUAGGCCUAUCUGGAUUUUCUGCUUCAGGGUCUCAGAAGGCUGUCAUUAACAUGUCAGCUGAGGCUAGGUUCUCACGUGAAGGCGUGACUGGGGAAGAACCCACUUCUGUAUUCAUUUACAGUUGUUGGCAGGAUGCAUGCCUCAAAGCCUGUUGGACUGAGAUCCUCAACACGUUGUUGGCCCUUGGUGGGAGUUGGCUAGUUCCUUGUCAUGUAGGCUUUUCCAACAUGGCAACUUACUUUAUGAAAGUCGGGAAAGUGUUUGUAAACAAGACACAAAUUAUAAUCUUUUAUAAACUAAUAAUGAAAAUGACGUCCCAUUACCUUUCCUUUAUUCUAUUAGAGGCAAAUCACUAUGGUCAACCAAUGCUCAAGGAGAGGGGUGAUUACACAAAGGUGUAAACUUCAGGAGGUGGAGGUCACUGGAAUCUUAGAAGUCUUCCUAAGGCAAGGGUUUCUUCUUGGACACCCUACUCAGUUCACUGAAGCAAAAGUGGCCAAAGGUGCCAAGUGGAUGCUUCUCCUCAUCUAUAUCCAUGUCCUCAAGGUCAAAGCUGUUUAAUGGCUAUGUGGAGUGGCAGCUGGUAAGAAAACAUCCAAGAGAUUGGAGCAUCCAAAGAAGGAAGAAGAGGUGUUAUAGCAGCAAACGUGAUGUGGGGUCAUCUUGAAUGGUAAAGUAAAAUGAAUCCUUAGAGCCACCUGACUCACUUGACACACCUGAAUACUGAUUCACACUUAGAGGGGAGGAAAACUUAGGUGCAAUAUGGUUUAUCCAGGCUCUACCACAGUCUCUCCACAUUGCCCUAGCUCCCAGACCUUGAGGCUAAACAAAUAACCUUCAGCUUCUGUAGACAUAGACAAACUGAGAGAGGAAGCAAACCCUACAGAUAGCAAGAUUUAAUUCCUGUUCUUAUUAAUAUAUUUAGUAUAGCACAUCUAUCAUUUCAAAUCUGAUUCUCCUACCUUGACCAUUAGAGUGAAUGGGUCACCCAACUGAUGAAAAAGCUAGUACUAUGGAUCUUAAUACAUAUAACUUCCAUCUUCGAUAUUUUCCAUGUCCCUAUGGCUUGAGGACUUCUAACCAAGGGAGAUGUGGUGGCUUAAAGUUUUAAGUUAAUGGUCUCAGGUCACAAAUCAAUUCAUACCUAAUGGCCACUGCUUCCAUUCAGAGAAACACUGGAUAAGACAAUUAGACAGUAUUUGCAUACUCAGACCAUCCAGCAAGUGAUCUGUCCAAAUGAUAAGGUACCACCAUCCAUGAGUGAUCUCAUACUUUUGUUUUGCUUCUAGGAUUGUUUUCCUUUCUUCCAGAUUCCUAUUUCUAUAGGAGAGCAGCACUGUCAUAAAAAGCAAGAAAGUGUAUUAGCUGAAAAAAACUGGAGAGAUGAGGUUCAAUUUUUUCUAGAAAAAGAUGUGCUUUGUAACCAUACUCAGGGAUCCCAGUAUUUUGAAAUUUCAGGGGAGUAUAAUUUACAUGAUACAGUGUGGUGCCUGAAGAACUGUCACUGACAUAUAAUGCAAUGGGAAUGGCCUACCAGAAUUUUUACAACCUUAAGCUCAAACUCCAAAUCUAAUGUCAAGUAUGACAAAAUGCAUGAAUUUAUUGGUACUUUGAUAUGGACUGGGCAUGGGGACCCCAGAUCCCAGCUUCAGGCUGUGAAACUGUGAAUUUAUCUGAUGUCAGGUGUUGCCUAAGACAAUCAGGUUCCUUGAGGCAGCCUUCAGAGGGAUUAACACUGAGAACUGUGUCCCAAUCAGCAGUCACAGUGAAGGAGCCCAGGCCUCGAAAAGGGCCUCUUCUCUUGAGGCUUUUCCCGUAGAACUUCCAUUGGCCCUGGAUCAGAGACUAAAUCAGGCUAUUUUCCUGGGUCACAAGGGGACAUAUGGUCUUCAUUAGGCAGGCGUAGUGGCAGGUUCAGAGACUUCUGGAGGCUGCUUCCUUAUCUCUCCCAGGAGACUCAAGGUCUGUUCCUUCCUUCAUUGGUGGGGAUGGGGAGCAGGUAAAGAACUGAUUAUUAUAUAAGUGUAGCAGUGCUUCCCUGCAGAGAGGAGGUUGGGCUGGCAAUGAGAAGAGUGGGUCAUUUUCCUGUUGGGAUACUUUCCCAGCUUUAGGCAAGCUUCAUUUAAGCAGGAUAAUUUACCAAGCUAUUGAUUGCUGCUUCUGUUCCCUGACAGAAGGGACCCCAGAAGGAAUAAAAAGUGUACUUCCUUUGUCUAACUGGGAGUUCUGUGCUUCUGGUCUCAGGGCUCAUUAAUGACCUUCAGGUUUCCUGACCCCAAAGCGAAGUUUUGGGCACCUGAAACCUGUUGCACAGUCCUGUCCAGACUCUUCUAAAAGAGAAGAGAAAUAAUCCAGGUGUUCUCAGGAGAGAGGAGAGACGGGAUGACAGAGGUUCUGGGGUGAAAGGAGAGGUACUUAAAGGUACCAGUGAUCCAGGGACUUGAUAAUAAUGAUGUAAAGAUGUAUUCCUUAAGUGGAUGGGUUCUGUGUUUAAGUCCCCUAGGAGCAGAAUGAUUUUUUUAAGGGAUGAAAUGAUGUUUGCUGAGAUGAUGAAUCAUCAAACCUCAUUAUCUUGGGAGGUGCAACAACACAUUGCAUUGCCCACACUUGGCAUAGAGGCUACCCACCCAUUAGCUUUUUAAUCUGCCAAAUGAGCUUGGACAAUAAACGUCCCAGUGGCAACCAUGAUGGACUUAAGAGCAGAGGUUCCUUCAUCUAUAUUUGCCUAGUAACAAAAUCCUCCCCCACUAACCCCACUGGCAGUCAUGACUAAUAUAGGAUACCUUCCUUUAACGUGGGAGCUUUGAUAAGAUUUAAUUUAACUUAGAAAAAUUAGGCACUGCCUGUUGCACUUCAAUUUUGUAAA